UACGUAGGGUGCAAGCGUUUAAUCGGAAUUACUGGGCGUAAAGCGUGCGCAGGCGGUUAUGUAAGACAGAUGUGAAAUCCCCGGGCUCAACCUGGGAACUGCGUUUGUGACUGUAUGACUAGGAGUACGGUAGAGAGGGGUGGAAUUCCUGGUGUAGCAGUGAAAUGCGUAGAUAUCAAGGAGGAACAUCGAUGGCGAAGGCAGCCC
rnacentral:rRNA from 1 species